UACGUAGGGUGCGAGCGUUGUCCGGAAUUAUUGGGCGUAAAGAGCUCGUAGGCGGCCUGUCGCGUCGGAUGUGAAAGCCCGGGGCUUAACCCCCGGGUCUGCAUUCGAUACGGGCAGGCUAGAGUGUGGUAGGGGAGAUCGGAAUUCCUGGUGUAGCGGUGAAAUGCGCAGAUAUCAGGAGGAACACCGGUGGCGAAGGCGGAUCUCUGGGCCAUUACUGACGCUGAGGAGCGAAAGCGUGGGGAGCGAACAGG
rnacentral:rRNA from 1 species